UACGGGGGGGGCAAGCGUUGUUCGGAAUUACUGGGCGUAAAGGGCGCGUAGGCGGCUUUUCAAGUCGGGCGUGAAAUCUCCAGGCUUAACCUGGAAGGGUCGUUCGAUACUGUUAAGCUAGAGUGUGGAAGAGGCUACUGGAAUUCCGUGUGUAGCGGUGAAAUGCGUAGAUAUACGGAGGAACACCUGCGGCGAAGGCGGGUAGCUGGGCAAACACUGACGCUGAGGCGCGAAGGCUAGGGGAGCAAACGGG
rnacentral:rRNA from 1 species